rnacentral:rRNA from 1 species
UACGUAGGGGGCAAGCGUUAUCCGGAUUUACUGGGUGUAAAGGGAGCGCAGACGGCAGUGCAAGUCUGGAGUGAAAGCCCGGGGCUCAACCCCGGGACUGCUUUUGGAACUAUCUAGCUAGAUUGCAGGAGAGGUAAGUGGAAUUCCUAGUGUAGCGGUGAAAUGCGUAGAUAUUAGGAGGAACACCAGUGGCGAAGGCGGCCUGCUGGGCUUUUACUGACGCUGAGGCUCGAAAGUGUGGGGAGCAAACAGG